GUACUCACUUCUGCAGCACAUAUACUAAAAUUAGAAUGAUACAGAGAAGAUUAGCAUAGUCCCUGUGCAAGAAUGACACACAAAUUCAUGAAGAAUUUCAUAUUUUU
ensembl:snRNA RNU6-71P RNA, U6 small nuclear 71, pseudogene